GACGAACGCUGGCGGCGUGCUUAACACAUGCAAGUCGAACGGAAAGGCCCUGCUUUUGUGGGGUGCUCGAGUGGCGAACGGGUGAGUAACACGUGAGUAACCUGCCCUUGACUUUGGGAUAACUUCAGGAAACUGGGGCUAAUACCGGAUAGGAGCUCCUGCUGCAUGGUGGGGGUUGGAAAGUUUCGGCGGUUGGGGAUGGACUCGCGGCUUAUCAGCUUGUUGGUGGGGUAGUGGCUUACCAAGGCUUUGACGGGUAGCCGGCCUGAGAGGGUGACCGGCAAAAUUGGGACUGGGAUACGGCCCAGAUUCUUCCGGGAGGAAGCGGUGGGGAAUAUUGCACAAUGGGCGGAGGCCGGAUGCAGAAACGCCGCGGGGGGGAUGACGGCCUUCGGGUGGUAAACCGCUUUGGCCUGUGACGAAGCGUGGGUGACGGUAAUGGGUAAAGAAGCACCGGCUAACUACGU
rnacentral:rRNA from 1 species